rnacentral:rRNA from 1 species
GAUAAACGCUAGCGGCAGGCCUAACACAUGCAAGUCGAGGGGCAGCGGGUGGAGUAUUUCGGUACUCCUGCCGGCGACCGGCGCACGGGUGCGUAACGCGUAUGCAACCUACCUUUAACAGGGGGAUAAUCCGAAGAAAUUUGGUCUAAUACCCCAUAAUAUCAUUUAAGGCAUCUUAGAUGGUUGAAAAUUCCGAUGGUUAGAGAUGGGCAUGCGUUGUAUUAGCUAGUUGGUGAGGUAACGGCUCACCAAGGCUACGAUACAUAGGGGGACUGAGAGGUUUUCCCCCCACACUGGUACUGAGACACGGACCAG